rnacentral:rRNA from 1 species
UACGGGGGGAGCAAGCGUUGUUCGGAUUUACUGGGCGUAAAGGGCGCGUAGGCGGCGUGACAAGUCACUUGUGAAUCUCCGGGCUUAACUCGGAACGGUCAAGUGAUACUGUCGUGCUAGAGUACAGAAGGGGCAACUGGAAUUCUCGGUGUAGCGGUGAAAUGCGUAGAUAUCGAGAGGAACACCUGCGGCGAAGGCGGGUUGCUGGGCUGAUACUGACGCUGAGGCGCGAAAGCUAGGGGAGCGAACGGG